UACGUAGGGGCCAAGCGUUAUCCGGAAUCACUGGGCUUAAAGCGUGCGUAGGUGGCUCGUUAAGUGUGUUGUUAAAUCGCGGGGCUCAACCCUAUCGAUGCAUCGCAUACUGGCGUGCUAGAGGACAGCAGAGGCAAGUGGAAUUUGUAGUGUAGCAGUGAAAUGCGUAGAUAUUACAAGGAACACCAAUGGCGAAGGCAGCUUGCUGGGCUACUCCUGACACUGAGGUACGAAAGCGUGGGGAGCGAACAGG
rnacentral:rRNA from 1 species